UACGUGGGGGGCAAGCGUUGUCCGGAUUUAUUGGGCGUAAAGAGCGUGUAGGCGGUUUGGUAGGUCCGCUGUGAAAACUCGAGGCUCAACUUCGAGACGCCGGUGGAAACCAUCAGACUAGAGUCCGGAAGAGGAGAGUGGAAUUCCUGGUGUAGCGGUGAAAUGCGCAGAUAUCAGGAAGAACACCCGUGGCUAAGGCGGCUCUCUAGUACGGUACUGACGCUGAGACGCGAAAGCGUGGGGAGCGAACAGG
rnacentral:rRNA from 1 species